CAAUAGCGUAUAUUUAAGUUGUUGCAGUUAAAAAGCUCGUAGUUGGAUUUCGGGUGGGACGCAGCGGUCUCGCAUUGCGUUUGUACUGCUGCAGCCCUCCUUCUUGCCGGGGGCGGCCUCUCGGACUUCACUGUCUGGGGGUCAGAAUCGGCGAUGUUACUUUGAGUAAAUUAGAGCGUUCAAAGCAAGCUUACGCUCUGAAUAUAAUAGCAUGGGAUAACACGACAGGACUCUGGCCUAUCGUGUUGGUCUAUAGGACCAGAGUAAUGAUUAAGAGGGACAGUCGGGGGCAUUCGUAUUCCGUUGUCAGAGGUGAAAUUCUUGGAUUUACGGAAGACGAACAUCUGCGAAAGCAUUUGCCAAGGAUGUUUUCAUUGA
rnacentral:rRNA from 1 species